AUAUAUUUAGGCAACCAGACUCACGAGAGCUCACUAUCACAAGAACAGUACCAAGGGGGAAAUCCACCCCCAUGAUCCAUUCACCUCCCACUAGGCCUCACCUCCAACUCUGGGGAUUAUAAUUCAUUAUGAGAAUUGGGCAGGGAGACAGACCUAAACCAUUAAACAGAGGGAACUGAAAUUUCAAAAACUGAGGUAGAAGCAGGGUUGAAGUAUUUUUCUCUUGAGUUUCCAUUUCUUUAUAUAUUAAACUAAAGUUUGGCCUGCAGCAGGGUUUCCUGACUUUCAAACUUUGGACAUUUGCAAAUAACCUUCCUGUUAUUUACCUUAUUCACAUACCACCCAAAGAGUGUAUAAUGUAUUGCCAAAAAAUGCAGAGAGAUGGAGUAGAGGUACUACUUAUGUUAGCUUCAACCUAAGUAGGAACUUGUUCAGGCACUUUGCUAGGUGCUUUACUUAGAUGAUCUCUAAUUCCCCUGACAAUUCAGAAAAACAGAUGAGGUUAAGGUAGUUGCAGAAGAUCAGAGGCAGUAGAAGUCAGAGCUGAGAUUUGGAUCUAGAUCUAUCUAGCUUCCAAAGACAACAAAAGGCAAAUGUACAUAAUUGCCAAAAGAGGAAAGCAAUGAGCUUUAGUGAAGAUAAAGUAUUGUUUAUUCCAGGUAGAUGGUCAGAGACGGUAGACUGAAGUAGAUGAAAUUGGAAGAAUGCCACUCAUUUGUUAAGGUACAGUU
rnacentral:lncRNA from 1 species